rnacentral:rRNA from 1 species
UUUUGCGAUAUGUUUUAGCUCGCUUGGGCGAGAGUAGUACUUGCAUGGGUGACCUCCUGGGAAGUCCUCGUGUUGCAUUCC